rnacentral:ribozyme from 13 species
AAAAGAGAAAAGAGAAAAGAGAAAAGAGAAAAAAAGGAAGGAGAGAGAUUUUCCCCUUGAAAAUGAUUGAGCGAAAGAGAUGGAGCUGCCUCUAUUUUUGUUUUUUGUUUUGUUUUGUUUUAUUUUGUUUUAUUCUGUUUUAUUUUGUUUUUUUCCUCUUUUCCUUUUUCCUCCCUUUUUCCUCACAUUUUUUUGGACGAGGAUGUGGGGUUGGUGGUGGGGAGUGGGAAAAGAGAAGAGAGAGCUC